rnacentral:rRNA from 1 species
CGGGGGCUGUCGGUAUUAUUGGGCGUAAAGCGAGCGCAGGCGGUAGAUAAGUCUGAAGUUAAAGGCUGUGGCUUAACCAUAGUACGCUUUGGAAACUGUUUAACUUGAGUGCAAGAGGGGAGAGUGGAAUUCCAUGUGUAGCGGUGAAAUGCGUAGAUAUAUGGAGGAACACCGGUGGCGAAAGCGGCUCUCUGGCUUGUAACUGACGCUGAGGCUCGAAAGCGUGGGGGAGCAAACAGGAUUAGAUACCCUGGUAGUCCACGCCGUAAACGAUGAGUGCUAGGUGUUAGACCCUUUCCGGGGUUUAGUGCCGCAGCUAACGCAUUAAGCACUCCGCCUGGGGAGUACGACCGCAGGGUGGAAACUCAAAGGAAUUGACGGGGGGCCCGCACACGCGGGGGAAGCAUGUGGUUUAAAUUCGGAGGCACCGCGAAGACACCUUUACCAGGUCUUGACAUCCCUCUUAACCGCCCCUAGAAAAUAGAAGUUUCCCUUCCGGAACAGAAGUUGACAGGGGGGUGGCAUGGUUUGUCGGCCGGCCUCGGGCGGGGGGAAUGUUGGGUUUAAGUCCCGGCAACGGGCCGCAACCCCCUAUUGGUUAGUUUGCCAUCAUUUCAGUUGGGCCCCUCUAGCGAGACUGCCGGGUUAAUAAACCGGAGGAAGGUUGGGGAUGACGGCAAAUCCUCCAUGCCCCCUUAUGGACCGGGCCAACACACGUGCUACAAUGAAUUGUACAACGAGGCGGCAAGGCGGUGACGGCAAGCAAAUCUCCUUAAAGCAGUCUAGUUCGGAUUGUAGGCUGCCACCUCGCCUACGUGAGGCCGGAUACACAUAGUAAUCCGGAUCAGCACGCGCGUGAUCGUCUCCUCGCGCUAUUAUAUA